rnacentral:rRNA from 1 species
GAUGAACGCUGGCGGCGUGCCUAAUACAUGCAAGUCGAGCGAACAGAUGAGGAGCUUGCUCCUCUGACGUUAGCGGCGGACGGGUGAGUAACACGUGGAUAACCCACCUAUAAGACUGGGAUAACUUCGGGAAACCGGAGCUAAUACCGGAUAAUAUAUUGAACCGCAUGGUUCAAUAGUGAAAGACGGUUUUGCUGUCACUUAUAGAUGGAUCCGCGCCGCAUUAGCUAGUUGGUAAGGUAACGGCUUACCAAGGCAACGAUGCGUAGCCGACCUGAGAGGGUGGUCGGCCACACUGGAACUGAGACACGGUCCAGACUCCUACGGGAGGCAGCAGUAGGGAAUCUUCCGCAAUGGGCGAAAGCCUGACGGAGCAACGCCGCGUGAGUGAUGAAGGUCUUCGGAUCGUAAAACUCUGUUAUUAGGGAAGAACAAAUGUGUAAGUAACUAUGCACGUCUUGACGGUACCUAAUCAGAAAGCCACGGCUAACUACGUG